rnacentral:ncRNA from 2 species
UUGUUAUCAAGAAAGGCGGAGGGAUAGACCCUAUGAAGCCUUAGCAACCCUUUCACUUGGAAGAAGGUGCUACAUUCUACCCCAAAUUUGGAGACAAAACAGCGGGAUAGAUAACUA